rnacentral:rRNA from 1 species
AUUGAACGCUGGCGGCGUGCCUAACACAUGCAAGUCGAGCGGUAACAGGUGUAGCAAUACAUGCUGACGAGCGGCGAACGGGUGAGUAAUGCUUCGGAAUCUACCUUAUGGUGGGGAAUAACUAGCCGAAAGGUUAGCUAAUACCGCAUACGUCCUACGGGAGAAAGCAGGGGAUCGCAAGACCUUGCGCCAAAAGAUGAGCCGAAGUCGGAUUAGCUAGUUGGUAGGGUAACGGCCUACCAAGGCGACGAUCCGUAGCUGGUCUGAGAGGACGACCAGCCACGCUGGGACUGAGACACGGCCCAGACUCCUACGGGAGGCAGCAGUGGGUAAUAUUGGACAAUGGGAGAAGCCCUGAUCCAGCGACGGCGCGUGUGUGAAGAAGGCCUGCGGGUUGUAAAGCACUUUUAGUGGGGAUGAAAUGUGCAGGGUUAAUACCUCUGCAUGUUGACCUAACCCACAGAAAAAGCACCGGCUAACUCUGUGCCAGCCGCCGCCGUAA